GAUGAAGAACGUAGCGAAAUGCGAUAAGUAAUGUGAAUUGCAGAAUUCAGUGAAUCAUCGAAUCUUUGAACGCACAUUGCGCCCGCCAGUAUUCUGGCGGACAUGCCUGUUCGAGCGUCAUUUCAACCAUCAAGCCCCCGGCUUGUGUUGGGGACCUGCGGCUGCCGCAGGCCCUGAAAACCAGUGGCGGGCUCGCUAGUCACUCCGAGCGUAGUAGUUACAUCUCGCUCAGGGCGUGCUGCGGGUUCCGGCCGUUAAAAGCCUUAUUUACCCAAGGUUGACCUCGGAUCAGGUAGGAAGACCCGCUGAACUUAAGCAUAUCAAUAAGCGGAGGA
rnacentral:misc_RNA from 1 species